UACGUAGGGUGCAAGCGUUGUCCGGAAUUAUUGGGCGUAAAGAGCUCGUAGGCGGUUUGUCGCGUCUGCUGUGAAAACCCGAGGCUCAACCUCGGGCCUGCAGUGGGUACGGGCAGACUAGAGUGCGGUAGGGGUGACUGGAAUUCCUGGUGUAGCGGUGAAAUGCGCAGAUAUCAGGAGGAACACCGGUGGCGAAGGCGGGUCUCUGGGCCGAUACUGACGCUGGAGG
rnacentral:rRNA from 1 species